rnacentral:rRNA from 1 species
AUUGAACGCUGGCGGCAGGCUUAACACAUGCAAGUCGAGCGAGCGGCGGACGGGUGCGUAAUGUAUGGGAAACUGCCUGACGGAGGGGGAUAACUAAUGGAAACGGUAGCUAAUACCGCAUACCAUCAGAUGUGCCCAGAUGGGAUUAGCUAGUAUGUGGGGUAAUGGCUCACCUAGGCGAACAUCCCUAGCUGGUCUGAGAGGAUGACCAGCCACACGGGAAGUAAGACACGGUCCAGACUCCUACGGGAGGCAGCGGAGGGGAAUAUGGCGCAAUGGGCGCAAGCCGGAUGCAGCCAGGCCGCGUGUGUGAAGAAGGACUUCGGGUUGUAAAGCACUUUCAGCGAGUAGGCGUUACUCGCAGAAGAAGCACCGGCUAACUCCGUGCCAGCAGCCGCGGUAAUAC